UGUGGGAGCUGGCUUGCCGGCGAUACAGGCAACUCGGUAUAUCAACGGCACCGAGGUGAUGCUAUCGCAGGCAAGCCAGCUCCCACA
rnacentral:misc_RNA from 1 species